UACAGAGGGUGCAAGCGUUGUUCGGAAUUAUUGGGCGUAAAGGGCGCGUAGGCGGUGCCACAAGUCACCUGUGAAAUCUCCUGGCUCAACUGGGAGCUUGCAGGCGAAACUGCCGUGCUGGAGUGUGGGAGAGGUGCGUGGAAUUCCUGGUGUAGCGGUGAAAUGCGUAGAUAUCAGGAGGAACACCUGUGGCGAAAGCGGCGCACUGGACCACAACUGACGCUGAGGCGCGAAAGCUAGGGGAGCAAACAGG
rnacentral:rRNA from 1 species